UACAGAGGGUGCGAGCGUUAAUCGGAAUUACUGGGCGUAAAGCGCACGUAGGCGGCUUGGUAUGUCGGGUGUGAAAUCCCCGGGCUCAACCUGGGAACUGCAUUCGAAACUGCCUUGCUCGAGUAUGGGAGAGGGAAGUGGAAUUUCCGGUGUAGCGGUGAAAUGCGUAGAUAUCUGGAGGAACACCAGAGGCGAAGGCGGCCCACUGGGCUGCACCUGACGCUGAACCGCGAAAGCCAGGGGAGCGAACGGG
rnacentral:rRNA from 1 species